rnacentral:rRNA from 1 species
GUGGGGAAUUUUGGACAAUGGGCGCAAGCCUGAUCCAGCCAUGCCGCGUGAGUGAAGAAGGCCUUCGGGUUGUAAAGCUCUUUCGGCCGGGAAGAAAUCGUGUUCUCUAACAUAGGACAUGGAUGACGGUACCGGACUAAGAAGCACCGGCUAACUACGUGCCAGCAGCCGCGGUAAUACGUAGGGUGCGAGCGUUAAUCGGAAUUACUGGGCGUAAAGCGUGCGCAGGCGGUUUUGUAAGACAGAUGUGAAAUCCCCGGGCUUAACCUGGGAACUGCGUUUGUGACUGCAAGGCUAGAGUACGGCAGAGGGGGGUGGAAUUCCUGGUGUAGCAGUGAAAUGCGUAGAUAUCAGGAGGAACACCGAUGGCGAAGGCAGCCCCCUGGGCCUGUACUGACGCUCAUGCACGAAAGCGUGGGGAGCAAACAGGAUUAGAAACCCUAGUAGUCC